GCAGGUCCAUCACCUCUAUACCACCCACCUGGUAGUUUGGUGGAUGGGACUACCAGCUCUCUGUAACCUAAAGGACAACUAGCAGGUCCAUCACCUCUAUACCACCGACCUGGUAGUUUGGUGGAUGGGACUACCAGCUCUCUGUAACCUAAAGGACAACUAGUCCAUCACCUCUAUACCACCGACCUGGUAGUUUGGUGGAUGGGACUACCAGCUCUCUGUAACCUAAAGGACAACUAGUCCAUCCCCUCUAUACCACCCACCUGGUAGUUUGGUGGAUGGGACUACCAGCUCUCUGUAACCUAAAGGACAACUAGUCCACAACCUCAGCAGGCUGUUCAUCAUGUGACCUUUAUAGUAACAGGCUGACCUGUCCCUCUCCAGAGGUCAACCGGGGGGUCAACUUCUCCCUAAGUAGGGGUCAGGAUUUACUCUCCCAUCCCCAUGUGAGGUAAUAUAGUAUUUAAGAGGGGAAACUGUGUCGUGAGUGAAUGCACACACAGGCACACAGUUGAUACCUACGUGUUGCUUUCCUUCUCUCAUCUCCUCUCCUUUACUGUAUCUCUCCUUCUCUCAUCUUCUCUCCUUCACCAUAUCUCUCCUUCUCUCAUCUUCUCCUUCACCAUAUCUCUCCUUCCCUCAUCUUCUCUCCACCAUAUCUCUCAUCUCCUCUCCUUCACUGUAUCUUUCCUACUCUCAUCUCCUGUCUUUCUCUCGUCUCCUCUCUUUCACACUCCUCUAUUUCCUUCUCUCUCUCUCUCCUCAAUCUCUGUCUCUCUCUUUCUCUCACUCUCUCUCUUUCUCUCAGUCUCUUUCUGUCUCUCUCCCUCUCCCUAUCUCUCUCAUGUUAGCCUCUUUAAUGGAGUUGUUAAACAUUAAGUAUUUAGAGUGCUACAGUAAGUGAGUCAAGCAUGGAGAGGCCUAAUCUUUGCGUUCCAGUCUAGGGGGCUUGAGUACCUUGUAAUCUAUCUGAUCGCUCUUAGACACACACACACACACACACACACACACACACACACACACACACACACCUGUUACAUGUCCCUUAUCUAGAUUCGAUACGUGAUAUGUAUUAUAUAAUGCCAAUGACUGGAACGAACUGCAAAAAUCACUAAAGCUGGAGCCUCUUAUCUCCCUCACUAGCUUUAAGUACCAGCUGUUGUAGCAGCUCACAGAUCACUGCACCUGUACAUAGCCCAUCUGUAAAUAGUCCAUCCAACUACCUCAUCCCCAUUCUGUAUUUAUUUAUCUAUCUAGCGACCCAUCUCGACAACAUCCGGGGAAAUUUCAGAGCGCCUUAUUUAAAAUACCAAAUAAUUCAUAAUAAACAUUCAUUAAAAAAAAUACAAGUGUUAAUCACUUAUCUUUGAAGAUCUUCAUAUGGUUGCAGUCACAAGAGUCCCAGCUACACAAUAAAUGUUUGUAUAGUUCAAUGAAGUCCCUCUUUAUAUGCCAAAAACCUAGUUUUGUUGGCGCGUUUUCAGUAAUCCACUGGCUCCAAGGCGGUCAAAACAUACAGACGAAUACAUCCUAAUAGUACCGGUAAAGUUUGUCGAAACACGCUAAACGAUGUUUCUAAAUAAUCCUCAGGUUGUCAAUUGUCUAAAUAAUCGAUAAUAUUUCAACAGGACAAUAGAGUAUUCAAUAGAAAGGAAAAACAACGAAGAGUGCGCACUCGGUCACGCCCGCAAACCAGCACUGCAUGAUUCUGUCCCCUCAGUGACAGUAUGUUAAUAUCCAAACCGGAAGCCAUCGAUUACAGCCAACAUCCGCAUCGAGCUAAUGUUCCGCUUUCAAGGAACGGGACAAUUAUCAGGACGCCUAUAAGAUAUCCUUAUUCCUGUCCCUGACCGAGUUUGUAAUACCAAUAUGUUCCAAGCAGACCACCAUAGUCCCUGUGCUCAAGAACACCGAGGUAACAAUCCUAAAUGACUACCGACCCGUAGCAGUCACAUCUGUGGCCAUGAAGUGUUUUGAAAGUUUGGUCAUGGCUCACAUCAACACCUUUAUCCCAGAAGCCCUAGACCCCACUCCAAUUUGCCUACCGCCCCACCAGAUCCGCAGAUGAUACAAUCUCUAUUGCACUCCACACUACCCUUUCCCACCUGGACAAGGAGGAACACCUAUGUGAGAAUGCUAUUCAUUGACUACAGCUCAGCGUUCAACACCAAAGUGCACCUCAAAGCUCAUCACCAAGCUAAGGACCCUGGGACUACACACCUCCCUCUGCAACUGGAUCCUGGACUUCCUGACUGGCCGUCCCCAGGUCUUAAGGGUAGGUAACAACACAUCUGCCACGCUGAUCCUCAACACGGGAGCCCCUCAGGGGUGCGUGCUCAGUCCCCUCCUGUACUCCCUGCUCACCCAUGACUACAUGGCCAAGCACGACUCCAACACCAACAUUAAGUUUGCUGUUGACAUACAGUGGUAGGCCUGAUCACUGACAACAACAAAACAGCCUAUAGGGAGGAGUUCAGAGACCUGACAGUGUGGUGCUAGGAUCACAACCUCUUCCUCAAAGUGAUCAAGACAAAGGAGAUGAUCAUGGGCAACAGGAAAAGGAGGGCCGAGCAUUCUCAUCAACAGGGCUGUAGUGGAGCAGGUUGAGAGCGUCAAGUUCCUAGGUGUCCAUAUCACCAACAAACUAUCAUGAACCAAACACACCAAGACAGUCGUGAAGAGGGCAUGACAUAGAGAAGACACUGGACUACAUAGAGAAGACACACUGGACCACAUAGAGAAGACACACUGGACCACAUAGAGAAGACACACUGGACUACAUAGAGAAGACACACUGGACUACAUAGAGAAGACACUGGAAUACUGAGAGAAGACACUGGACUACAUAGAGAAGACACUGGACUACAUAAAGAAGACACUGGACUACAUAGAGAAGACACUUGACUACAUAGAGAAGACACACUAGACUACCUAGAGAAGACACUGGACUACAUAGAGAAGACACACUAGACUACAUAGAGAAGACACUGGACUACUUAGAGAAGACACUGGACUACUUAGAGAAGACACUGGACUACAUAGAGAAGACACUGGACUACAUAGAGAAGACACUGGACUACAUAGAGAAGACACACUAGACUACCUAGAGAAGACACUGGACUACUUAGAGAAGACACUGGACUACAUAGA
ensembl:lncRNA